rnacentral:rRNA from 1 species
UGCAGUAGAACGCUGAAGAGAGGAGCUUGCUCUUCUUGGAAGAGUUGCGAACGGGUGAGUAACGCGUAGGUAACCUGCCUUGUAGCGGGGGAUAACUAUUGGAAACGAUAGCUAAUACCGCAUAACAAUGGGUGACCCAUGUCAUUCAUUUGAAAGGGGCAACUGCUCCACUACAAGAUGGACCUGCGUUGUAUUAGCUAGUAGGUGAGGUAACGGCUCACCUAGGCGACGAUACAUAGCCGACCUGAGAGGGUGAUCGGCCACACUGGGACUGAGACACGGCCCAGACUCCUACGGGAGGCAGCAGUAGGGAAUCUUCGGCAAUGGGGGCAACCCUGACCGAGCAACGCCGCGUGAGUGAAGAAGGUUUUCGGAUCGUAAAGCUCUGUUGUAAGUCAAGAACGAGUGUGAGAGUGGAAAGUUCACACUGUGACGGUAGCUUACCAGAAAGGGACGGCUAACUACGUGCCAGCAGCCGCGGUAAUACGUAGGUCCCGAGCGUUGUCCGGAUUUAUUGGGCGUAAAGCGAGCGCAGGCGGUUUGAUAAGUCUGAAGUUAAAGGCUGUGGCUCAACCAUAGUUCGCUUUGGAAACUGUCAAACUUGAGUGCAGAAGGGGAGAGUGGAAUUCCAUGUGUAGCGGUGAAAUGCGUAGAUAUAUGGAGGAACACCGGUGGCGAAAGCGGCUCUCUGGUCUGUAACUGACGCUGAGGCUCGAAAGCGUGGGGAGCGAACAGGAUUAGAUACCCUGGUAGUCCACGCCGUAAACGAUGAGUGCUAGGUGUUGGGUCCUUUCCGGGAUUCAGUGCCGCAGCUAACGCAUUAAGCACUCCGCCUGGGGAGUACGACCGCAAGGUUGAAACUCAAAGGAAUUGACGGGGGCCCGCACAAGCGGUGGANCAUGUGGNUUUAAUUCGAAGCAACGCGAA